GAAAGAACCUUACCAGGCCUUGACAUCCAAUGAACUUUCNAGAGAUGGAUUGGUGCCUUCGGGAACUUGACACAGGUGCUGCAUGGCUGUCCUCAGCUCGUGUCGUGAGAUGUUGGGUUAAGUCCCGUAACGAGCGCAACCCUUGUCCUUAGUUACCAGCACGUAAUGGUGGGCACUCUAAGGAGACUGCCGGUGACAAACCGGAGGAAGGUGGGGAUGACGUCAAGUCAUCAUGGCCCUUACGGCCUGGGCUACACACGUGCUACAAUGGUCGGUACAAAGGGUUGCCAACCCGCGAGGUGGAGCUAAUCCCAAAAAACCGAUCGUAGUCCGGAUGCAGUCUGCAACUCGACUGCGUGAAGUCGGAAUCGCUAGUAAUCGCGAAUCAGAAUGUCGCGGUGAAUACGUUCCCGGGUCUUGUACACACCGA
rnacentral:rRNA from 1 species